UACGAAGGGUGCAAGCGUUGUUCGGAAUUACUGGGCGUAAAGCGCGUGUAGGCUGUUCGGGAAGUCGGAUGUGAAAGCCCUGGGCUCAACCUAGGAAGUGCAUUCGAAACUCCCGAACUGGAGUCACGGAGAGGAAGGCGGAAUUCUCGGUGUAGAGGUGAAAUUCGUAGAUAUCGAGAGGAACACCGGUGGCGAAGGCGGCCAGCUGGCGCUGACCUGACGCUGAGGCGCGAAGGCAUGGGGAGCGAACGGG
rnacentral:rRNA from 1 species